AUUGAACGCUGGCGGCAUGCCUUACACAUGCAAGUCGAACGGUAACAGGUCUUCGGAUGCUGACGAGUGGCGAACGGGUGAGUAAUACAUCGGAACGUGCCUAGUAGUGGGGGAUAACUAUUCGAAAGAGUGGCUAAUACCGCAUGAGAUCUACGGAUGAAAGCAGGGGAUCGCAAGACCUUGUGCUACUAGAGCGGCCGAUGGCAGAUUAGGUAGUUGGUGGGAUAAAAGCUUACCAGGCCGACGAUCUGUAGCUGGUCUGGGAGGACGAUCAGCCAAACUGGGACUGGGACACGGCCCAGAGUCCUACGGGAAGCAGCAGUGGGGAAUGUUGGACAAUGGGCGAAAGCCUGAUCCAGCAAUGCCGCGUGCAGGAUGAAGGCCUUCGGGUUGUAAACUGCUUUUGUACGGAACGAAAAGCCCCGGGUUAAUACCCUGGGGUCAUGACGGUACCGUAAGAAUAAGCACCGGCUAACUACGUGCCAGCCGCCGCGGUAA
rnacentral:rRNA from 1 species